rnacentral:rRNA from 1 species
AGCAGCCGCGGUAAUUCCAGCUCCAAUAGCGUAUAUUAAAGUUGUUGCAGUUAAAAAGCUCGUAGUUGAAUUUCGGGAUCGACGGGUCGGUCGCGCCUCUGGUGUGUACUGGCCCUGUCGGUUUCUCCCUUCUGACGAACCACGAUGUCAUUAAUUUGGUGUCGUGGGAAAUCAGGACUGUUACUUUGAAAAAAUUAGAGUGUUUAAAGCAGGCAUUCGCUUGAAUACAUUAGCAUGGAAUAAUGAAAUAGGACGUUUGAUCUUAUUUUGUUGGUUUCUAAGAUCGACGUAAUGAUUAAUAGGGAUAGUUGGGGGCAUUAGUAUUCAAUUGUCAGAGGUGAAAUUCUUGGAUUUAUUGAAGACUAACUACUGCGAAAGCAUUUGCCAAGGAUGUUUUCAUUAAUCAAGAACGAAAGUUAGGGGAUCGAAGACGAUCAGAUACCGUCGUAGUCUUAACCAUAAACUAUGCCGACUAGGGAUCGGAUGAUGUUAAUUUUUAAUGACUCAUUCGGCGCUUAAC